rnacentral:snoRNA from 1 species
UGAGGCCAGUGAUGUAAUAAAAAUAUUUGCUACUCUUGAUGAAGAACUUUGUUCUUUCAGUUGAUGAUUGGUUUACCACCAAGAUCUCUGAGGGCCUUA